UUAGGGGGGCUCCCGGAUCUGGCAAGGCCGGACUCCGCCGGUCUAAACAGCUCGGCCGCGGCCAGGCGGCUGCCACCGCGGUGAAGCCGGGCGGCAGCCCAGAAGGGGUCCCCUUCCCGCCGACACGGCACCCACUCCCAGCUGGCUCGGUCGACACCUCUGAGAACCCACUCGUAGAAAGGUGCACCCCCAGUGAGUCGGACACUAUUCCUUCCAUCUCCCCCUUGCCUGGGACAUUAGUGUGACGUGUGACCCAUCUGCCAUUGGCUUCAGUGUGCUGUUCCCGUGUUGUUUAUUCAGAGACGUCAUCGCACACACGGCCGGCUCGGGUGAGAACCCCCACAGCGAGCCUGUGUUAGAUUAGUGGGAAGACAGUGGCAGUCUCCGAGGGCGGUUUGCCUCAGACAAAAGAACCCUCUUCCCAGUGGGGACAUGUGGCGGCUUUGGGUCCCUGGGGUGCCACACGGAGGUCCCGCUACACCGCCCACUUUGCUUCCAGAAAACAGCCCCGAGCCCCAGGUCCCCAACCCUGCCCUCUGCGCCCCUCCCUUCAGCCUGUGUGGUUUGGACGGUUCUCCUCCCGUGACUCCUCCCUUGUGCUCCCUGAGCCGCGUUCCCUGCCCGUGGGGUCCCGGAGUCGCAGCUGCCCACGCCCAGGCGCCCCCGUGCUUCCCUGGCGGCCUGCGGACAGUCCACACCACCUCAGAGAGGCCCCCAGAAGAAACGGUGAGGGCAGCGAGUGCUGGCGAGAAGCCAAAGCAGCGGAGCCCUCUGGGGGCCGGUGCCGCUGGGAACACUCAGCCCUGCAAACACAGUGGACGGUGGGACCCGACACGGCCCUCCCGGACCUUCAUCCAGGAAGACGACGAGCUACGUGAUCAGGCACAAAACCCCGUCUGCGAACACGGACAGCAGCUCUAUCCGCAACAGCUCUGAGGCAGAGGGUCCCAGAUGUCCUUCCAGAGGCACGCGGUCACGUUAACGUGCGUCCCCAGCACAGGACCGCACUGCCCCCACAAGAAUGGCGCUGAGUAGAAAGUCAGUCUCCAUUUACAUCUAAUCCUCAAAACGACAGUUUGGCUGCAGAGCCGGCCGGCGGUUGGGGCUCGGGUGCCGGAGGGCGGGGGGAAGCAGCGUGGUGCCCAUGGAGCUGGUGGCACCGGUCCGCAUGGUGACAGCAGCGCGGGUCACGCCCACAGGGCGGAGAGAGGACAGCGGGCUCUGUGCACGUGCCGCCCCAGGCUCGGCCUGCUGGCUCUGGCCGAGGGUCAGCCGGGUCCGGGAGAUCAUCCGUCGGGGCACCAGCACCCGGAGCCAUGGCCUUUUAACAGCUGUGUUCUCUGUCAUGCUGAGCGUCGAGGCCACAGUGGGCCAAGGAUGCCACGUCCUGUCCCGGACCCUGGGGAUGUGGCCUUGCCUGGCACCAGGGACUCACAGCUGGCAUUUCUCCAGGAGGGUCAGAGUCGGGGGCACGCAGGCUGACGCAGAGGCUGGCAUCACAGCAGCUGGGAGGGCGCGCGGCACGGAAGGCCCUUCCCGGGAGCAGGGACCAGCAGGGCUUGGAUCGCACCGGCCCGUCUCUCGGACCCCAUUUCUCUCUUGUGCUGCCUUCACGGACAGCCUCCACGAAGACGCCGCCUUGCGCGGUGUUCGUGUUGGCCGUGGCCUAACGGGCUGACACCUGUCGGGAGUUGAUGCAUAUUUGCCUGGGAGACCACCCUCGUCACUUUCUGGAAUCCCUCGUAGACCGGGGACAGACGGCCUAUGGACACCCUGCAGCUCCUCCCCCAGCUCCCUGCACACGUUGUCAGCCGUCUCCCGACGUCAGCCUCUCUCGCAGUGCUGCGCCCCCCAUGCACGGGCUGGGGGGCCCUGCAACUCGUGCACCAAACGGACAGCACGGCGGCAUUCUGGGCUCCUGGCACAGACGCCACUCUGUUUAGAAACCUGGAGGGGGGAGCCGUGAAGCCCACGGGCUGCCUCCCAGAAGGCCCUGCACGAGACCGUCGUACUUUAUCUUAAGCCAACAGCACAACUUUCUCCUUGGAACACUGUUCAUGUUUACGGCGCAGUGACUUAAGACCACCCGCUUCUCAAGACAGGUUAACCACACACGUACGGCCAGGGGGAGUAUCCUGGAGAGGAGUGAUUUCCAUUCAAGCCGGGGGACGUUUCCUCACCGUCAACACGGUAUUGAUCACACCGGUAGUUUUCUGCCUCACUUUCUCCUAGCCUCCUUUUUCCUUUUUAAAUAUGUUUUCUGAAGUCUCUCCAGAUGAACCAGAGUAACUUCGUUUUUGGAAAAGAACAAAUUUCCCCCAGCAGUGCCAACCCUCCAGCGGCCGAAAUGAGUGGUUCUCAAACAACCUUGGAGAUUCCAGUGCUCCCUCCGCAGAAUUCUAGAACAGCAGCACGUAAUCCGAGUAUUCCGCAGAAGGGCAGACUGCCCAGCGAGCCCAGUAACUAUGCAAACCCUCUGCCCCCUCGGGGCCCAGAGGGGAGGCCUGUAUAAAUGCUACAGCCAGGAAUAAAAGCGAUUUCCCGA